GAACGGAACUUCGGGUUUACUGGCGGACGGGUGAGUAACGCGUGAGAAUCUGCCUCUAGGUCGGGGACAACAACUGGAAACGGUUGCUAAUACCCGAUGUGCAGCAAUGUGAAAGAUUUAUUGCCUAGAGAUGAGCUCGCGUCUGAUUAGCUAGUAGGUGUGGUAAUGGCGCACCUAGGCGACGAUCAGUAACUGGUCUGAGAGGAUGACCAGUCACACUGGGACUGAGACACGGCCCAGACUCCUACGGGAGGCAGCAGUGGGGAAUUUUCCGCAAUGGGCGAAAGCCUGACGGAGCAAUACCGCGUGAGGGAGGAAGGCUCUUGGGUUGUAAACCUCUUUUCUUAGGGAAGAAGCUCUGACGGUACCUAAGGAAUAGGCAUCGGCUAACUCCGUGCCAGCAGCCGCGGUAAUACGGAGGAUGCAAGCGUUAUCCGGAAUCAUUGGGCGUAAAGCGUCCGUAGGUGGCAGUUCAAGUCUGCUGUUAAAGGCUGGGGCUUAUCCCCAGACAGGCAGUGGAAACUGAACAGCUA
rnacentral:rRNA from 1 species